rnacentral:lncRNA from 1 species
UCACCGAAACUUGUGUAAUCUGAGUGCAUGUAUGCGCGACGCGAAUUGUGUAGUCAAACUUUGUCAAAGACACACG